rnacentral:tRNA from 1 species
GGGGAUGUAGCUCAGAGGCAGAGUACUUGCCUUGAAAGUGUGAGGCCUUGGGUUUGAUCCCUAAAUACCUCA